CUUGUUCUUGAAUCCCCAAACCCCUCCUCGUCUUCACUCCCUUCUUCCGCGUCGCAAUCAUUCGUGGGGGCGCAUUACUCCUGCCGCCCCUCAAUCCCGAAUUUCUGCGGCGUCCACUCUCCCGUCUCCCCACUAGGAUUCCGCAAGAUUGAUCGCGUUCGCCGCCUCCCAAUUUCAGUAUCUUUUUCAUCAGGGUCGGCGUCGGCCCGAUUUGUUGCCGUCGUCCUCGUCGCCGCCCCGCCCACCACUCCACUUCUUGGAGGACUCGGUCCUGUCCUGUCCUGACUCCGCUCCACCUGUCCUCCUCGCUUCCAUCGCCAUUGCCGCCCUCCUUGCUCUGCUCCCUCCAAGCCACCUGCUUUUUUGGACCGCACCGGUCUGCCGGGGCGGCGUAAAUGCCCGCCCGUCCGUGCAGAGGAUCCCAGAGCCUUCCUUCUCCGCCCCAAAUCCCGUCCUUGUUGACACCAGGCCAAGGUUCUUGGACGCGUGCUGACCUUACCAGUAUCCACAGAUGAGGAACGCGUCCUGACUCCACUUGCCCAGCUCAGGCGGCUGCUCCGCGAGCUCCGCCACCCACUGACAUGGGCUUCUUGAUCUGCUGCACCCGCCUCCUCCAGCUUCUGCUGCUGCUGCUCGUCCUCACCACCGCCACCCCACCAGUGGCGGCGCAGCCGCAGCCUUCAUCGCCCGCCAGGGCCCUCGACGCGGCGCUACAGGACUACGCGUUCCGUGCGUUGUCGGCGCGCCCGCGCACCGGCAUUGUCUACAACGCCACGGUGCCGGGCAACCUCACUGGCAUCGCGGCGUCCGCGCUGCGCCUGCGGAGCGGCAGCCUCCGACGGAGGGGCUUCCCCGGCUACUUCCAGUUCGCGCUCCCGCCGGGCGUCGUCGUGCAGCCGCACGUCGAGCGGGUGGUGCUCGUGUACCACGACCUCGGCGACUGGUCCGACCGCUACUACCCGCCCCCCGCCGGGUACGCCUACCUCGCGCCGGUCCUGGGGCUGCUCGUCUACGACGCGGCCAACCUGUCGGCCGUGGGGGUGGGGCUGCCGGAGCUCAGCAUCGUCGCGUCGGGGGUGCCGAUUUCUGUGGCGUUCGAUGGUGUCCGGGCGGUGCCGGCAGGCGGCGCGGUGGCGAGGUGUGUUGUGUUCGAUUUGGAUGGCGUGCCGCAGUUCCGGGACCUGGAGGGAACCAAUGUGUGCACGACGUAUCGGCAAGGGCACAUCUCGAUUGUGGUGAAUUCUAGUGAGAUUGCUCCAGCUCCUGCUCCUGCUGGCGUGAUUGCUCCGCCGAUACCGACUGAGGGAGGUGGUAAGAAGGGGAGCUCAGACGCGUGGAAGAUUGCUGUCGGCGUUGUUGGGGGUGCAGCAGCAUUGGGGCUGUUGGCUGCGCUUCUGCUUUGCUUGGUGAGGUACAAAAGGGAUAAGAAGCUUCAGCUCAUGGAACGGAAUGCGGAGGUUGGGGAGACAUUGAGGAUGGCACAGGUUGGGCGGACGCAGGCGCCUGUGGCAUUGGGGACGCGGACACAACCGGUGAUUGAGAACGAUUAUGCUGCAUAGUAGAUUUUUCAAUUUGCUUGAUACUUCUGCUAACAAGAAGACUUGAUAGUGCUGGCUAGAGACAGGAUUGUCCAUUGGUUGCUUGACGUCGGCAAGUUUUCUAUAUCAGCGAGGGCAAUGCUAGCCACUAAUUUCAGAGCCCAGGUUCUGCUCAGUGAGGGUUCAGCACAUUCUUUCGGUGGUGUUCGGAAGCUUAUGUUUUGUACUGCGGCGAAUGGGAGGCUAUUGUUCAUGUUCAUAGUUGCCAUGUUCAUAUGUGGGGAGUCCCUUUCAUCUCCAAGCAAGCAAUGGAGGGGAAAUGUUUGCCAUAUCGGAUUUGGAAUCCCCUAUUAAUUUUUUUAUUGGGUUUCUGUAUUCAAGAGGAAAUGGAUUUGGCAAUAAAGCUGAGGAGUAAUAAGGUGAGGCCAGCCAAGGAUGGCAGACAGAAUGGAUUUGUAUUUGUAGAGUUCCCCAGCUGGACUGCUGGAGCUUGGAAGAGAAAAGAAACAGAAGCAAGGUGACCCCAGAAUUCUUGCUGCUUGUGGAGGUGGCAAAACCAGCAAGGUGUGUUGUUUCUUGUUUGGCUGGAGAAGAGAAGACAGGGAGCAGCUGUGGUGCCUCUGUCUGAGUUCAUCAGGCUUUUUGGAGGGAGUUGUAGCUGGCUGUGGUGGCGUGUGCCGUGGCGCCUCAGCUUUGGCGCCGUAGCGGAAUCUUUGCUGUCACUAUGCACGGAUUCACAGCUCAUUGGCAUCUGCUGCUCGCCUCUGCUCUGGAAUGCUUGUUUUGUAAUGGGAAGGAUGCAGCUGUAGUGUGUACUGGAGUGUUAAAUUAACUGACUGUUGUUGGAGUACCCUAUGCAGUUUGUUUUGUGCUGGUUAACACAUAGCCUUUCUGAGUUCCUGCUAACCUCCACUUCCAUUUCUCCCUGCUGUUAAUCCGAGUGAUGAACUGCCUUCACCACCAUCUAAAAAUGCGGUCUACAGUCUUGAACACUAGUUUUUUCAUAUCUCAACUUUUCACCCAUGUUUUGGAUAUAAAAGGGGAAAAAAGAACUUUAUAUUGAAAA